GAUGAACGCUGGCGGUCUGCUUAACACAUGCAAGUCGAACGGAAUCCCUCGGGAUUUAGUGGCGGACGGGUGAGUAACACGUAAGAACCUGCCUCUAGGACGGGGACAACAGUUGGAAACGACUGCUAAACCCGGAUGAGCCGAAAGGUAAAAGAUUUAUCGCCUAGAGAGGGGCUUGCGUCUGAUUAGCUAGUUGGUAAGGUAAAGGAUUACCAAGGCGACGAUCAGUAGCUGGUCUGAGAGGAUGAUCAGCCACACUGGGACUGAGACACGGCCCAGACUCCUACGGGAGGCAGCAGUGGGGAAUUUUCCGCAAUGGGCGAAAGCCUGACGGAGCAAGACCGCGUGGGGGAGGAAGGUUCUUGGAUUGUCAACCCCUUUUCUCAGGGAAGAACAAAAUGACGGUACCUGAGGAAAAAGCAUCGGCUAACUCCGUGCCAGCCGCCGCCGUAACAC
rnacentral:rRNA from 1 species